AUGAAGGAUGAAGCUAAUGAGGUUGUGGAGGCGAUUGCCAAGAAGAUUGUCCAAGACAUGCCCUAUGAGGCGCGCGUUGAUGCUGUGGUGAAGUAUUUCGCGCACGAACGCAAAAUUCUUCUCAAAAAGUCUCUAGCCCGGAGAGUGCAUCUCACCCGUUCCAUGUACAUGAAGGCGGUUUCCUCGUGGUGCAACAACAAUGUUCCUUGCUACCAGCAAAUCAUAUCCAAAUGGAUAGACCCGGAGUGGAGGGCCCAACAUCGAAUGGCUUCGGAGCGGCGUGCCUUGAUGGGUGGUCCGGUACACCUUCAAGGCAACCUCAACCUCCACGCUUACGUGCAGAAGAAGAAUAGGGAGAGAGAUGAGGGCCAAGAGAAGCUCAAUACCUUCACGGGAUUAUGUCUCUCCCGCAAGUCAAAGAAACCGGAAGGGGGGUGGGUCAAUCCAGGCGCUAGCUUGAGGAUUGAUGCAUACAGUGGGAAGUUCAAGGAGCACAACGUGCCUGACUCUGAUCCGGCCUCACAGGACAUUGACGCUACAAUUUCCCUCCAGUUGGGAGAUGGCAAGAAGGGUGGUCGGUUAUAUGUUGGCGACGGUGCCAUCCGUAAGUAG
rnacentral:rRNA from 1 species